UACGGAGGGUGCAAGCGUUGUCCGGAAUCAUUGGGCGUAAAGCGCGUGUAGGCGGCCCGGUAAGUCCGCUGUGAAAGUCGGGGGCUCAACCCUCGAAUGCCGGUGGAUACUGUCGGGCUAGAGUGCGGAAGAGGCGAGUGGAAUUCCUGGUGUAGCGGUGAAAUGCGCAGAUAUCAGGAGGAACACCAAUUGCGAAGGCAGCUCGCUGGGACGUGACUGACGCUGAGACGCGAAAGCCAGGGGAUCAAACGGG
rnacentral:rRNA from 1 species